UACGUAGGGGGCAAGCGUUGUCCGGAAUCAUUGGGCGUAAAGAGCGUGUAGGCGGCCAGAAAAGUCCGCUGUGAAAACUCGAGGCUCAACUUCGAGCUGUCGGUGGAAACUUUCUGGCUAGAGUCCGGUAGGGGAGCAUGGAAUUCCUGGUGUAGCGGUGAAAUUCGUAGAUAUUAGGAAGAACACCAGUGGCGAAGGCGGCUCACUGGCUCGGUACUGACGCUGAGGCGCGAAAGCGUGGGGAGCAAACAGG
rnacentral:rRNA from 1 species